UGGGUUCAGAACGUCGUGAGACAGUUCGGUCCCUAUCCUAUGCGGGCGCAGGAUGUUUGAGAAGAGUCGCUCUUAGUACGAGAGGACCGGAGCGAACGAACCUCUAGUGUACCAGUUGUCACGCCAGUGGCAGCGCUGGGUAGCUAUGUUCGGACGUGAUAAGCGCUGAAAGCAUCUAAGCGCGAAACACUCUUCAAGAUGAGACAUCCCUCUCCGAGUAAUCGGAGCUAAAGACCCCUGGGAGAUUACCAGGUUGAUAGGCUGCAGGUGUAAGCCCAGCAAUGGGUUGAGCCGAGCAGUACUAAUAGGUCGUGAGACUUAACCUU
rnacentral:rRNA from 1 species